GAUGAACGCUGGCGGCGUGCCUAAUACAUGCAAGUCGAGCGAACAGACGAGGAGCUUGCUCCUCUGACGUUAGCGGCGGACGGGUGAGUAACACGUGGAUAAUCUACCUAUAAGACUGGGAUAAUUUCGGGAAACCGGAGCUAAUACCGGAUAAUAUAUUGAACCGCAUGGUUCAAUAGUGAAAGACGGUUUUGCUGUCACUUCUAGAUGGAUCCGCGCUGCAUUAGCUAGUUGGUAAGGUAACGGCUUAUCAAGGCGACGAUGCGUAGCCGACCUGAGAGGGUGGUCGGCCACACUGGAACUGGGACACGGUCCAGACUCCUACGGGAGGCAGCAGUAGGCAAUCUUCCGCAAUGGUCGAAAGCCUGACGGAGCAACGCCGCGUGAGUGAUGAAGAUCUUCGGAUCGUAAAACUCUGUUAUUGGUUAAGAACAAAUGUGUAAGUAACUAUACACGUCUUGACGGUACCUAAUCAGAAAGCCACGGCUAACUACGUG
rnacentral:rRNA from 1 species